rnacentral:sRNA from 1 species
GCUGGGCAUGGUGGUGCAUGCCUGUAAUCCCAGUGGCUUGGGAGGCUGAGGCAGGAAGAUAGUUCAAAGCCAGCCUCAGCAAAAGUGAGAUGCUAAGCAACUCAGUGAGACCCUGUCUCUA